rnacentral:rRNA from 1 species
GUGGGGAAUAUUGGACAAUGGGCGAAAGCCUGAUCCAGCCAUGCCGCGUGUGUGAAGAAGGUCUUCGGAUUGUAAAGCACUUUAAGUUGGGAGGAAGGGUUGUACGUUAAUACCGUGCAAUUUUGACGUUACCGACAGAAUAAGCACCGGCUAACUUCGUGCCAGCAGCCGCGGUAAUACGAAGGGUGCAAGCGUUAAUCGGAAUUACUGGGCGUAAAGCGCGCGUAGGUGGUUCAGUAAGUUGGAAGUGAAAUCCCCGGGCUCAACCUGGGAACUGCUUUCAAAACUGCUGAGCUAGAGUACGGUAGAGGGUAGUGGAAUUUCCUGUGUAGCGGUGAAAUGCGUAGAUAUAGGAAGGAACACCAGUGGCGAAGGCGACUACCUGGACUGAUACUGACACUGAGGUGCGAAAGCGUGGGGAGCAAACAGGAUUAGAAACCCCUGUAGUCC